rnacentral:rRNA from 1 species
UACGUAGGGUGCAAGCGUUAAUCGGAAUUACUGGGCGUAAAGCGUGCGCAGGCGGUUUUGUAAGUCUGUCGUGAAAUCCCCGGGCUUAACCUGGGAAUGGCGAUGGAGACUGCAAGGCUAGAAUCUGGCAGAGGGGGGUAGAAUUCCACGUGUAGCAGUGAAAUGCGUAGAGAUGUGGAGGAACACCGAUGGCGAAGGCAGCCUCCUGG